GAGAGGGUUACUUGCCAGAGAGGCAAGAUGCGCCUCAAACUCAGAGUUCCUGACUUCUAUACCAGGACUCUUUCUUUCUUUCUUUCUUUCUUUCUUUCUUUCUUUCUUUCUUUCUUUCUUUCUUUCUUUCUUUCUUUCUUUCUUUCUUUCUUUCUUUCUUUCUUUCUUUCUUUCUUUCUUUCUUUCUUUCUUUCUUUCUUUCUUUCUUUCUUUCUUUCUUUCUUUCUCUCUCUUUCUUUCUUUCUUUCUCUCUCUCUUUCUCUCUCUCUCUUUCUCUCUCUCUUUCUCUCUUUCUGUUCUUCUUUCUUUUUCUUUUUAUUCCUUCCCUCCUUCCUGUCCUUCUUUCUUUCUAUAUUCUUUUUCUUCCUUCCUUCCUUGCUUUCUUGCUAGCUAACUUCCUUCCUUCCUUUCUUUCCUUUCUUUUCUUCUUUAUUUCUUCCCUUCCC
rnacentral:lncRNA from 1 species